rnacentral:rRNA from 1 species
UACGUAGGUGACCAGCGUUGUCCGGAUUUACUGGGCGUAAAGAGCGCGCAGGCGGUCGUUCAAGUCGAGUGUGAAAGCCCCCGGCUCAACUGGGGAGGGUCAUUCGAUACUGAUCGACUUGAAGGCAGGAGAGGGAAGCGGAAUUCCCGGUGUAGUGGUGAAAUGCGUAGAUAUCAGGAAGAACACCCGUGGCGAAGGCGGCUCUCUGGGACGGUACUGACGCUGAGACGCGAAAGCGUGGGGAGCGAACAGG